rnacentral:rRNA from 1 species
UAACGCGUGAGCAAUCUGCCUUUCAGAGGGGGAUAACAGCCGGAAACGGCUGCUAAUACCGCAUAAUGCAUCGGAUUCGCAUGUUUCUGAUGCCAAAGAUUUUAUCGCUGAAAGAUGAGCUCGCGUCUGAUUAGCUAGUUGGCGGGGUAACGGCCCACCAAGGCGACGAUCAGUAGCCGGACUGAGAGGUUGAACGGCCACAUUGGGACUGAGACACGGCCCUUACUCCUACGGGAGGCAGCAGUGGGGAAUAUUGGACAAUGGACCAAAAGUCUGAUCCAGCAAUUCUGUGUGCACGAUGAAGUUUUUCGGAAUGUAAAGUGCUUUCAGUUGGGACGAAGUAAGUGACGGUACCAACAGAAGAAGCGACGGCUAAAUACGUGCCAGCAGCCGCGGUAAUACGUAUGUCGCAAGCGUUAUCCGGAUUUAUUGGGCGUAAAGCGCGUCUAGGCGGUUUGGUAAGUCUGAUGUGAAAAUGCGGGGCUCAACUCCGUAUUGCGUUGGAAACUGCCAAACUAGAGUACUGGAGAGGUGGGCGGAACUACAAGUGUAGAGGUGAAAUUCGUAGAUAUUUGUAGGAAUGCCGAUGGGGAAGCCAGCCCACUGGACAGAUACUGACGCUAAAGCGCGAAAGCGUGGGUAGCAAACAGG